rnacentral:rRNA from 1 species
UACGUAGGGUGCGAGCGUUAUUCGGAAUUACUGGGCGUAAAGCGUGCGCAGGCGGUCUGUUAAGACAGAUGUGAAAUCCCCGGGCUUAACCUGGGAACUGCAUUUGAGACUGGCAGGCUAGAGUAUGGCAGAGGGGGGUAGAAUUCCACGUGUAGCAGUGAAAUGCGUAGAGAUGUGGAGGAAUACCGAUGGCGAAGGCAGCCCCCUGGGCCAAUACUGACGCUCAUGCACGAAAGCGUGGGGAGCAAACAGG